GGGCGUAAGGGCUCGCAGGCGGUUUCUUAAGUCUGAUGUGAAAGCCCCCGGCUCAACCGGGGAGGGUCAUUGGAAACUGGGAAACUUGAGUGCAGAAGAGGAGAGUGGAAUUCCACGUGUAGCGGUGAAAUGCGUAGAGAUGUGGAGGAACACCAGUGGCGAAGGCGACUCUCUGGUCUGUAACUGACGCUGAGGAGCGAAAGCGUGGGGAGCGAACAGGAUUAGAUACCCUGGUAGUCCACGCCGUAAACGAUGAGUGCUAAGUGUUAGGGGGUUUCCGCCCCUUAGUGCUGCAGCUAACGCAUUAAGCACUCCGCCUGGGGAGUACGGUCGCAAGACUGAAACUCAAAGGAAUUGACGGGGGCCCGCACAAGCGGUGGAGCAUGUGGUUUAAUUCGAAGCAACGCGAAGAACCUUACCAGGUCUUGACAUCCUCUGACAACCCUAGAGAUAGGGCUUUCCCUUCGGGGACAGAGUGACAGGUGGUGCAUGGUUGUCGUCAGCUCGUGUCGUGAGAUGUUGGGUUAAGUCCCGCAACGAGCGCAACCCUUGAUCUUAGUUGCCAGCAUUUAGUUGGGCACUCUAAGGUGACUGCCGGUGACAAACCGGAGGAAGGUGGGGAUGACGUCAAAUCAUCAUGCCCCUUUAUGACCUGGGCUACACACGUGCUACAAUGGACAGAACAAAGGGCUGCAAGACCGCAAGGUUUAGCCAAUCCCAUAAAUCUGUUCUCAGUUCGGAUCGCAGUCUGCAACUCGACUGCGUGAAGCUGGAAUCGCUAGUA
rnacentral:rRNA from 1 species